CCUACGGGAGGCUGCAGUGGGGAAUAUUGCACAAUGGGCGCAAGCCUGAUGCAGCCAUGCCGCGUGUGUGAAGAAGGCCUUCGGGUUGUAAAGCACUUUCAGCGGGGAGGAAGGCGUUAAGGUUAAUAACCUUGGCGAUUGACGUUACCCGCAGAAGAAGCACCGGCUAACUCCGUGCCAGCAGCCGCGGUAAUACGGAGGGUGCAAGCGUUAAUCGGAAUUACUGGGCGUAAAGCGCACGCAGGCGGUCUGUCAAGUCGGAUGUGAAAUCCCCGGGCUCAACCUGGGAACUGCAUUCGAAACUGGCAGGCUAGAGUCUUGUAGAGGGGGGUAGAAUUCCAGGUGUAGCGGUGAAAUGCGUAGAGAUCUGGAGGAAUACCGGUGGCGAAGGCGGCCCCCUGGACAAAGACUGGCGCUCAGGUGCGAAAGCGUGGGGAGCAAACAGGAUUAGAUACCCGUGUAGUC
rnacentral:rRNA from 1 species